GGGCUGUGGCGCAGUUUGGUAGCGCACUUGACUGGGGGUCAAGGGGUCGUGGGUUCAAAUCCCGCAUCGCCCA
rnacentral:tRNA from 1 species